rnacentral:misc_RNA from 1 species
AACUUUUGGCAACGGAGCUCUUGGCUCUCGCAUCGAUGAAGAACGCAGCGAAAUGCGAUACGUAAUGUGAAUUGCAGAAUUCAGUGAAUCAUCGAAUCUUUGAACGCACAUUGCACUCUCUGGUAUUCCGGAGAGUAUGCUGGUUUGAGUAUCUGUAAACAUCUCAAAUCUCUCUUCGCUUGCGUCGAGAGAAUUGGAUUUGAGCGAUCCCGACUCCUUCGUCAGAAAGAGGAGGGUCGCUUGAAAUGCAGGUACCAGCUGGGCAUUCUUCUCAGCCAAAAGCAUAUCUAUUUAGUCCCGUCAAACGGAUUAUUACUUUUGCUUCAGCUAAUAUAAAGGUCGAAUGAACUACCAACGCUGAUUGCAGGAAAACUUGUCGGUUUAUUCGGACUUGUAAACUCGAUCUCAAAUCAAGUAAGACUACCCGCUGAACUUAAGCAUAUCAAUAAGCGGAGGCU